ensembl:snRNA U6 U6 spliceosomal RNA
GUGCUCACUUCAGUGGUACAACGUACUAAAAUGGGAAUAAUACAGAGGAUUAGCAUGGCCUCUGCACAAGGCUAACAUUGCCACUAAGAUCUAUUCUAGUCUUAU